rnacentral:rRNA from 1 species
GAUGAACGCUGGCGGCGUGCCUAAUACAUGCAAGUCGAGCGAAGCGGGGACGGGUGAGUAACACGUGGAUAACCUCCUAUAAGACUGGGAUAACUUCGGGAAACCGGAGCUAAACCGGAUACUUAUCGAUGGAUCCGCGCGGCAUUAGCAAGUUGGUAAGGUAACGGGUUACCAAGGCAACGAUGCGUAGCCGACCUGAGAGGGUGAUCGGCCACACUGGAACCUGGACACUGUCCAGAUGCCUACGGGAAGCAGCAGUAGGGAAUCUUCCGCAAUGGGCAAAAGCCUGACGGAGCAACGCCGCGUGAGUGAUGAAGGUCGUCGGAUCGUAAAACUCUGUUAUUAGGGAAGCGGUACCUAAUCAGAAAGCCACGGGUAACUACGUGCCAGCAGCCGCGGUAAUAC